AUGCACUUUUCUAUUUGGUGCUUGUAGACGUUAUGGGAAAGUUGUCUCUCUCGCUACAUCUCUCUCCCACUCCCCAUCCCUCCCUCCCUGCUUCUCUUCGUCUAUCAUGUGCUUGGGAUAUGCUCAUGCUUUGCACAGAGCAGCCGAAGCACGCCUAAUGCAGGCUACUGAGUGUUAGCGGCAAUUUUAAAGUGAUGCCCCCCCCACCAAAUAUAAUACGGCUGGGAUAUUUGAGGGGGAACAUAUAGGACCACAUCACGGUACACACGGACCCAGCUGUUCUUCUCCUGCUUGGGACGCUUUCUGGUCAAUUGCAGUGAUUUGACCCACCUUUGGGAAUGAUGGAGAAAUGGAGCUGUGGAGAACUGCAGGCAGCAGGAAGUAGAGGUCAACACAAGAUCUCUGGGAUUUUGCUCAACACCGGACGCACAUGAGGUUGGAUGGAGACCUCAUAGAUCAUGACCCAGAAACAAAUGGCAUAAUGACUGGAGUCUCCAGGCUAAAGAUGUCAAG